UACGAAGGGUGCAAGCGUUACUCGGAAUUACUGGGCGUAAAGCGUGCGUAGGUGGUUUGUUAAGUCUGAUGUGAAAGCCCUGGGCUCAACCUGGGAACUGCAUUGGAAACUGGCUUACUAGAGUGCGGUAGAGGGGUGUGGAAUUCCCGGUGUAGCAGUGAAAUGCGUAGAUAUCGGGAGGAACACCAGUGGCGAAGGCGGCUUCCUGGACCUGUUCUGACACUGAGGAGCGAAAGCGUGGGGAGCGAUCCGG
rnacentral:rRNA from 1 species